GGUGAUAUGGCUCAGUAGUAGAGUGCUUGCCUAGCAUGCAUGAGGCCCUGGGUUCAAUCCUCAGCACCU
rnacentral:tRNA from 1 species